AAGACCGAACACGGGUGCUCGUAUCCAACGAGCUGAGAUCCGCGUUGCUUCCUUUCCAUAAACGUCCAGUGCACCUUCGUGCCUGAUGAAAGGAGCGCGGGAACCGUCCGAACCUGUCUGGUUAGCACCAGCGAAGGAAGUUGAAGGAGCUGAUUC
rnacentral:ncRNA from 2 species